rnacentral:lncRNA from 1 species
CAAUUUGCAUUGCCGGUCCCAAGCCCGGAUAAAGGAGGAGGGGAAAUUGGGUUUAUAGCGGCUUCUUCUAGAGAUAUAAUUUUUCUUGUAGUUGUGCUUAGUUUUUUUUAAUGUAGAUGGUCAACCUCUUUUAGCAUCUGGUGGUUCUUCUGGGGUCAUAAGCAUAUGGAUUCUAGAGAAAAAGAGGCUACAGACUGUUAUAAGAAAUGCCCAAGAGCCUACACUUGUGAUUUCUGCAGCUGACAACUCUAUAAAUGUAAAGAUGUUUUUAUCGUUUUUCUAUAUCCGUGAUACUUUGUACUAGUGAUAUGUUAUUUGUCUAUGCAUGUUGUCCUAUUGGAGAUUGUCUCAAGAGCUCUCCUUCAGCUUAUUUGACUAUAAGUUAUCUUGUAUAGCCAACAUAGAUGCAUCAUGCAUGGCAGGUUCUAUAAUUUGAUUUUUUGUUUUAGUCAUCUACAGAUCAUUUAAGAGAAUAAUUGUCAUCGCACAGGUACUCUGUACCUACUCAAUCUACUCUUUUCUACAAAUCAUUUCAGAUGUUCAACAUGUUCUAAGUAUCUAAAGUAUUGUACUGUGCACAGGUCAUAAGGGGUAUUAGUUCCUCUACUGGUGAGUUGGCUAAGGAGGCAGGUC